GGAUGUGAAGGUGAUCUGGCUGAGACAUCUGUCACCCCAUUGAUCGCCAGGGUUGAUUCAGCUGAUCUGGGUGGCUGAGCGGGUGUCCCCUUCCUCCCUCACUGCUCCAUGUGUGUCCCUCCGGAAGCUGCGCGCUCGGUCGAAGAGGACGACCAUCCCCGAUAGAGGAGGACCGUUCUUCGGUCAAGGGUAUACGAGUAGCUGCACUCCCCUGCUAGAACCUCCAAACAAGCUCUCAAGGCCCUCUCUCACUUUGGAAAGACUGUUUAACAGCUGUAGGUU
rnacentral:snRNA from 1 species